rnacentral:rRNA from 1 species
UACGGGGGGAGCAAGCGUUGUUCGGAUUUACUGGGCGUAAAGGGCGCGUAGGCGGCCACAACAAGUCACUUGUGAAAUCUCCGGGCUUAACCCGGUAGCGGCCAAGUGAUACUGUUGGGCUAGAGUGCGGAAGGGGCAACUGGAAUUCUCGGUGUAGCGGUGAAAUGCGUAGAUAUCGAGAGGAACACCUGCGGCGAAGGCGGGUUGCUGGGCCGACACUGACGCUGAGGCACGAAAGCGUGGGGAUCAAACAGG